GACAUAGUCACCUCAGAACAGGAGGUCUGGAGGCCUGCAGCUGAUAAACAGGAGGCACUAGUGACCAGGUGAUCCCCCAAGUGACCUAUGGGCUCCUGUGUAUGUCUAGAGCAUUGGAGGCCUCAAGCCUAAAGUCUGCAGCCACCUGUCAAUUGCAACUCGGAUCGAGCACCAAGAUCCGGCUGAGGCUUUGAUAUUGAUAUAUAUCUGAUCCUUUGGGCUGGCUUCUGUCUGUGCAAAUUUCAACAAGACCUGCCAGAGAAGAAGACAACAGUCACGUACCAGGGAAAUGAAAUUCCUACCCUGUAUUCGGUGCUGGUUGGACAUGGGUGCGGUGUCUGAGGGGGACGGCGGAUUUGUGGGGUGCGUGAAGCCGGAUUAUACUCUGUUGGGACGAAUCGACCGGGCAUCGACACCCGUGUCGGCAAUCACAUCUAUUUAGGAACCCUUUUUCUUAUGACACCCCUGCUACAACAUGUACCUUCACAAAUGCAAAGGUGGAACAGUGGAUGCACGGACAUCACCACAGAGACAAGCGUACUGGGAGGCGUUCCCCGUCAGGUGAGAUGGGCGGGGUUAUGCCAAGCCAGGUCUCCCGGGAUGUGGGGACGGUAACCGCCUUUGCCUUAGCAUAUUGCAGGAAGACUAGCUCGCCCCAGGUGAGUGUCCCCACUUUCCACGAUGCACUAGGAUGCCCAGUUCUACCAUCACUGACAGCAAAGGAAGACUGCCAUCAAGCAAGAUGGCGUACUAACAUCUAACACCCGCAGUGCGCAUGCGCCUGUACACGCCGUGGGUCGUCAAAGCAACAUGGGAGUUAACUUCCGGUGUUAGACCGGAAACUUGGCCUGACCGGAACAGAUGCCUGUCGAAGCGUUCCACGGAGAUGACCCGGUAACACGCAGGCCGCAGCCACCCCCCUGGGACGCAGAAGUAUCCAGGACUAAUCAAUUCACGUAUCUAAUUACACUUACUGUAAGUCACAUACAGUCAUGUUUUUAAUG